rnacentral:autocatalytically_spliced_intron from 1 species
AACCGCCAUGGUACGGAUCCGUAUGCCUGGUGGUGUGAGAGGUCGGCUGAAGAAAUAAUCUUCAGCCUCCUACUCGAU